rnacentral:rRNA from 1 species
GAUGAACGCUGACAGAAUGCUUAACACAUGCAAGUCUUUGGCGAAGCUGUGCUUGCACAGCCUAGCCAAGGCGGACGGGUGAGUAACGCGUAAGGAACUUGCCCUGCAGUCAGGGAUAACAGACGGAAACGACUGAUAAGACCUGGUAAAGUCAGGCGGACUCAUGUCCAGCCUGAUGAAAAGAGAUGCUGCAGGAGAGCCUUGCGUCCUAUUAGCUUGUUGGUGGGGUAACGGCCCACCAAGGCGAUGAUAGGUAGCCGGCCUGAGAGGGUGGACGGCCACAAGGGGACUGAGAUACGGCCCUUACUCCUGCGGGAGGCAGCAGUGGGGAAUAUUGGACAAUGGGGGCAACCCUGAUCCAGCAAUUCUGUGUGCACGAUGAAGGUUUUCGGAUUGUAAAGUGCUUUCAGCAGGGAAGAAAAAAAUGACGGUACCUGCAGAAGAAGCGACGGCUAAAUACGUG